UACAGAGGUCUCGAGCGUUGUUCGGAUUUAUUGGGCGUAAAGGGCGCGUAGGCUGCGGGGUAAGUCAGGUGUGAAAUCUCAGAGCUCAACUCUGAAAUUGCACUUGAUACUGCUCUGCUAGAGGACUGGAGAGGAGAUUGGAAUUCACGGUGUAGCAGUGAAAUGCGUAGAUAUCGUAAGGAAGACCAGUGGCGAAGGCGGGUCUCUGGACAGUUCCUGACGCUGAGGCACGAAGGUCAGGGGAGCAAACGGG
rnacentral:rRNA from 1 species